rnacentral:rRNA from 1 species
AUACCGGUCCUUAUUGGGUCUGGUAAUUGGAAUGAGUACAAUUUAAAUACCUUAACGAGAAGCCAUUGGAGGGCAAGUCUGGUGCCAGCAGCCGCGGUAACACCAGCUCCAGUAGCGUAUAUUAAAGUUGUUGCAGUUAAAAAGCUCGUAGUUGGAUAUCUGGCUAGGGUGCCUGGCCCGCCUCCCUUUGGGCUGGUGAUGCGCCGGCGUUGUCUUAGCCAUCCUUCUGGAAAUCACUUCUCCUCUUUUGGGAGGGUGGAGUGGGAUCUGGAUCUUUUACUUUGAAAAAAUUAGAGUGUUCAAAGCAAGCUAUAAUGCUGUGAAUACAUUAGCAUGGAAUAAUAACGUAGAACUUCGUGUUCUAUUUUGUUGGUUUUUAGAGCCGAAGUAAUGAUUGAUAGGGAUAGUUGGGGGUGCUUGUAUUGAACGGCCAGAGGUGAAAUUCUUGGAUUCGUUCAAGACAAACAACUGCGAAAGCAUUCACCAAGGAUGUCUUCUUUAAUCAAGAACGAAAGUUGGGGGAUCGAAGACGAUCAGAUACCGUCGUAGUCUCAACCAUAAACUAUGCCGACUAAGGAUCAGUGAAUGUUGUUUUCCAUGACUUCAUUGGCACUUUAUGAGAAAUCAAAGUCUUUGGGUUCCGGGGGGAGUAUGGUCGCAAGGCUGAAACUUAAAGGAAUUGACGGAAGGGCACCACCAGGCGUGGAGCCUGCGGCUUAAUUUGACCCAACACGGGAAAACUUACCAGGUCCGACAUAGUUAGGAUUGACAGAUUGCAGAUCUUUCUUGAUUCUAUGAGUGGUGGUGCAUGGCCGUUCUUAGUUGGUGGAGUGAUUUUGUCUGGUUAAUUCCGUUAACGAACGAGACCUCAGCCUACUAAAUAGUCGGGCGAACACUUAUGUGUUGGCUUUGCGACUUCUUAGAGGGACUGUCUGUUUCUAGCAGAAGGAAGUUUGAGGCAAUAACAGGUCUGUGAUGCCCUUAGAUGUUCUGGGCUGCACGCGCGCUACACUGUUGCAUUCAGCGAGCAACUACCCUUGAUCGAUAGGUCUGGGUAAUCUUUGAACAUGCAACGUGCUGGGGCUAGACUAUUGCAAUUAUUAGUCUUCAACGAGGAAUGCCUAGUAAACGCGAGUCAUCAGCUCGCAUUGAUUACGUCCCUGCCCUUUGUACACACCGCCCGUCGCUCCUACCGAUGAAUGGUCCGGCGAAAUCUUUGGACCGUGGUCUUUGGGUGGGUUUCUACCCUUGACUUUGGGAAGUUGAUUAAACCUUAUCAUUUAGAGGAAGGAGAAGUCGUAACAAGGUU